CAGAUUGAGAGUCUGAAUCUGAGAGAGGAGGAAAGCUGGUGAAGGUUCACACUUAUUUUGCCUGCCACAUACAGAAUCACCCUCCACAGAAAGGAUUUAUCUUUUUAGCGUUCUUUUUUUGUGUCUCAAACCUUGUGGAUUUCAUGGACCUUGGACUGUGAUUCCUUCUGAGAAGUCUGAACAAUACUUUUUAUUUCUUUAACUUUAUGAGAGGACCCAAAAUUUUAUUACAGGACAUCAAUCAGAUUUACAUUUAAUUCAUAGUUUUGAUAAAGUCAUCAGCUGUACGGGGAUAUAGUUUGACAUGGGGCCUGGGAAGGCGCUACUUAUCCUGGGCUUAAUGUGUAUGCUGGGGGAAUGUUUCUCCCAGUGUCCAGAUGGCUAUAACAAAAACGGCAAAAAAUGUAUAGGCGUUUAAGCACUGCUCAUAUCAAGACUGGAUUACAAUGAAAACAACAGUAGAUGAGGUUCAAAUUUUUAGAUCACCACAAUUUCAAGCAACCAGCAGAAAUAAUUACACCGCAUUGGCAGCAAUGAUAUAACCACAGACUGGUGAUCAUGGUGAACAGGAGUGUGAGAAGAAAAAGAGCUAACAGAGAUCGC